rnacentral:tRNA from 1 species
AGCUAGUUAGUCUAGUAGUAUAAUUCUUAGCUACAAUCUAAGAGGUCGUAGGUUCAAUUCCUAUACUAGUCA